UACGGAGGAUGCGAGCGUUAUCCGGAUUUAUUGGGUUUAAAGGGUGCGUAGGCGGACUGUCAAGUCAGCGGUAAAAUUGAGAGGCUCAACCUCUUCCCGCCGUUGAAACUGGUGGUCUUGAGUGGAUGAGAAGUACGCGGAAUGCGUGGUGUAGCGGUGUAAUGCAUAGAUAUCACGCAGAACUCCGAUUGCGAAGGCAGCGUACCGGCAUCCAACUGACGCUGAGGCACGAAAGCGUGGGGAUCAAACAGG
rnacentral:rRNA from 1 species